UAUUAUAAUGUUUGAAAUUUCACCAAAUCCUGAUUAACACUGAAGAAUCCUAUUUCUUUGUUAUAUUUUAAGAAUUUUAUUAUGUUACUUAUUUUGAUAAGCACUAGUACCUGUACUGUCACUUUAAGAGAGUGUCUUAUGACAUCAGCACUGUACUACCUUCAGUUGGCGCUAGGCUGCCUGAGAAGAGGGGAAUUCCGACUCCUGUGAAUGGAAGAGCUGCAUGUUAAAGGGCAUUUUUAUUUCUAUUUGUGCAGGCCUCUGCCAGCAACCUGCAUUAAAGAACAACCA